rnacentral:misc_RNA from 1 species
AGUGACCCAAAGAAGAAAUAACUGGUGAUGGCAAACAUCGGAGUGAACAAUAUCAAAAGGAUACUGACUCUUAUGUUCAAUAGAAGCAAGACUUAAUCUAGACAUUUUUCCUAGAAAACAUGAAGAACAAGGAGAAACUUUAGAAGUGGAAGCUGGUAAUUUAAAAGUAGACACAAUUUUGUGAACACAUCGAGGAUGAGGAUGAGGAUGACCCAGCUUGAGUGCCAAUCGUCCACUAUCAUCUUUUCAACAGCCAUAGCAUGCUUCAGUAGUGGACCAAUUAUGUACACUCCAUUUUCACUUAGUCCCAGAAGAAGAAUCUGCUUAGUGGUUUAAUCCCUGAAAAGAAAAAAAUCAGGCCAAAAUUCAAAGAAAUAGGAAUUGUCGGAGGUGAAUUUUUGAACAUAUAAGAGAUUUUUUAUUAUUGAUGGAGCAUGAAGAACAUUUGUUAGUUUAAUUGGUCCAUUGAUUGAAGGAAUAGAUGUGAUACGAGUGUGGUGAAUUGGUACGCCAUUGCCAUCGCCAACAUGUAGGUGAUCAUGUCCUUUGUACUCCUGCGUGAGACUCAGAUUGGAGAGGUCUAGUGUAAUAUGAUAAUUUGCCGUAGUGUUUGAAAACCAUGGAAGGGAUGUUUCAGUAGUAAGAGAGCUAUAACAGUGAUAAUUUGCUUAAGGGGAGAAGUUCGGUCUGUCAGCAUUAGUUGAGGAAUAUCUUCUACGGCAUUUGCCAGCAGUGUGAUUCCUAAGACCACAUAUUUGACAAGGUCCUCUUGGACGAAAAGAUCUAUUGACAUUGCUAUAUUGCCUUGGAGCAGGAGAACGAGGUGGAGUGGGUAACAGUCCAGCUGCAGUAUUAGUAGGAGAUUGUUGCCGUAACACUAUAUUGGCAAUGGGAAGCUCCAGUGAACUUUUAAUGAGAACCUCGUGAGCAACAAGAUGUCCAUAUAAUUCAAAAAAGGUGAUCGAUUCCGAUCGAAGAUUCAGAGCUAUGAUUAUUGGAUGAUAUUUGCUGCCAAUAUUCCGAUAGAUAAUGGCAUUGAAUUCAGCACUUGAAAGGGGUGACCUGCAGAUUCUAAUUCGUCAGCAAGAGAUUUAGGACGAUGAAGAUAGUUAGCAACAGGCAUAUUAUUCCUUUUGAGUUCCUAAAGCUCAAUGUGAAUUUGCAAUUGUCUAUUCUGAGAAAUCGACCCAAAAGCAUUUGACAAUGCAUGCCAGACUUCAUAUGAAGAUUUCAAGCCAACAACAUAGGGAAAUAUCUCCUCGCUAAGUGAAGAGAGAAUCUAUGAUAGAAGCAUUUGGUCUUUUUGAAAGCAAGUAUCAAACUUAGAAUUGGAAACAGGAUCAGGAGCAGGAGGAAGAUAAUUUUUUUGGGGGGAGGCGCAGCUAAGCCAUCAACGAAUUUCUGAAGUUUAAGAUAGUUCAACAAAGGAAUGAACUAGGUUUUCCAAGCUAAAUAGUUCCUAGUGGUAAGCUUGAUAGCAAACGUGUGAUCGGCAAAAGAUGGAGUUGAGGAGAUAGAAAUGGUGGGGCUAGUGACGGAAGAAUUAAUUCCAUUUGUUGAGUUGCUCAUUUUGAUAUCAAGGAGGCUCUAAUACUAUGUAGAGAUUCAGAGUAUGGGAAAAUUUUGUAUUGCUGUAUAUUGAUAUGCUAUAUACAAGACACUAUAUAUAGAGAUUAAAAGAAACAGAAUAUUGUGAUAUUGACUGAGUAAAAGAUACAAAGU